rnacentral:tRNA from 1 species
AGGCCCAGCAAUUGGACCACUGGACUCAUAAUCCAUUGGUCGAAGAUUCGAGUCCUUCCGGGCCCACCA